CCGAAUUGUUCUUUCUUCUCUCUUCUUUCUCUCUCCCAAAUAGAUGAACUUUGUUAAAGGGCUAAGUAAAGGUAUAGGGAGUCAAGGAUGGAUCUUUUAUUCAUCAUUAAUCAUAAAUUAAAAAGGUUAUGGAUGCUUAUAGGAUGACUAUAAGGUGAAGGGCUUGAUAUGAUCUUCCCAAGUUGAAAUAAAGGGGUCGUUAUAUUUCAAGGAUGCCAUACAUUAUGAUUACUAAAAAGUACAUAAUAGGGUUCCAUGACACCGGAUUCAACAUUAGCUAAUGUGGUCUAUCUUUGUUAAGGUUCCGAACAUUGAAGGGUUCGUGACAACUUUUGAUGGAAGGUUUGGAAAUCAUUCACAUAGUGUGGGUAUAUCCUCAAGUCCGAGGAUGAUGUCUUGUGAUUACUCUAGCUAUGGUUCUUUAUUAUAGUCUAAAGACGAUCAUUUCAUUCAUGUUGUUUCAAGUUAUUGUUGUAAGCCCUAAGUGGCAUUUCUACGUUUGUGUAAGGGCUUGUGCCCAUAUGUUUGACUCCGUUUAGACAGUUUAAU